rnacentral:rRNA from 1 species
UGCAUGGCCGUCGUCAGCUCGUACCGUGAGGCGUCCUGUUAAGUCAGGUAACGAGCGAGACCCGUGCCCCAUGUUGCUACCCUCCCCUCCGGGGGAGGGGCACUCAUGGGGGACCGCCGGCGCAAAGCCGGAGGAAGGUGCGGGCAACGACAGGUCCGCAUGCCCCGAAUCCCCUGGGCUACACGCGGGCUACAAUGGCCGGGACAAUGGGACGCGACCCCGAAAGGGGGAGCGAAUCCCCUAAACCCGGUCGUAGUCCGGAUCGAGGGCUGUAACUCGCCCUCGUGAAGCCGGAAUCCGUAGUAAUCGCGCCUCACCAUGGCGCGGUGAAUGCGUCCCUGCUCCUUGCACACACCGCCCGUCACGCCACCCGAGUUGAGCCCAAGUGAGGCCCUGUCCGCAAGGGCAGGGUCGAACUUGGGUUCAGCGAGGGGGCGAAGUCGUAACAAGGUAGCCGUAGGGGAACCUG